rnacentral:ncRNA from 1 species
UCAAAGACUUUGACGGGGAAUAGUAGGCGUUCCGGUCCUUCCAGAGAGCCGGCGGUCGGUGUGAGCCGGCAGGACGGGACGCUGAACUCGCCCCCGAGUCCGCACCGCAGGCAUGUCCGGCCGGUGCCGUCACUCCGCGUUAAGGAUGAGCUGGACGGCAUGCCGUCAAUGUGGGUGGCACCGCGGGAGCACAACAACUCUCGUCCCUGUU